rnacentral:rRNA from 1 species
AACGUAGGAGGCGAGCGUUAUCCGGUUUUACUGGGCGUAAAGCGUGUGCAGGUGGUUUGGUAAGUUGGAUGUGAAAGCUCCUGGCUUAACUGGGAGAGGUCGUUCAAUACUGCCAGACUUGAGAGUGAGAGAGGGAGGUGGAAUUCCGGGUGUAGUGGUGAAAUGCGUAGAUAUCCGGAGGAACACCAGUGGCGAAAGCGGCCUCCUGGCUCAUUUCUGACACUCAUACACGAAAGCUAGGGUAGCAAACGGG